UACGUAGGGAGCAAGCGUUGUCCGGAAUCAUUGGGCGUAAAGCGCACGUAGGCGGCUUAGCAAGUCGGAAGUGAAAUCCCUCGGCUCAACCAAGGAAGUGCUUUCGAAACUGCUGAGCUUGAGUACUUAAGAGGAUCGCGGAAUUCCCGGUGUAGAGGUGAAAUUCGUAGAUAUUCGGAAGAACACCAGUGGCGAAGGCGGCUCACUGGACUGGUAUUGACGCUGAGGUGCGAAAGCGUGGGGAGCAAACAGG
rnacentral:rRNA from 1 species